UCGAAAAUUAAAUAAAUAAUUAUAAAAAUCCAAUUUAGGCUUAUAAUGCCGAAUUGGAUUCCGAGACAAGCCCGGAAAAUUACCGAGACUCGCUCCAUAAAUAACAUGGCAUGUCUACUUGCUAAUGUCUAUUUCUAACCACCUAACAUGCAUCAUUAAGUCUCUAAUUUAAUUGAUCUAAACUAAUCUAACCACCUAAUUGCAUUUAAUUAAAUCUAACCAACCCCUAAGCAUAUUUAGCAAACUAAGAAAGCUUUAGUG
rnacentral:lncRNA from 1 species